rnacentral:rRNA from 1 species
ACUCAAAUGAAUUGACGGGGACCCGCACAACCGGUGGAGCGUGUGGUUCAAUUCGUUACAAAGCGAAAAACCUUACCAGGGUUUGACAUCUUACCGUUUAUGCCUAUGGAAACACUGGCAAAUCCGCAAGGAUGGUAGGACAGGUGCUGCAUGGCUGUCGUCAGCUCGUGCCGUGAGGUGUUCCCUUAAGUGGGGAAACGAGCGCAACCCCUAUGAAAUGUUACAUAUUCAUUUCAAACUGCUCUUGUUUUACAAGGGAGGAAGGAGGGGUAGAUGUCAAGUCAGCAUGGCCCUUAUACCCUGGGUCACACACACCCUACAAUGGCGAAUAACAACGUGUUGCAAUACGGUAACGUAAAGCUAAUCACUGAAAUUUCGCCUCAGUUCAGAUUGGGGUCUGCAACCCGACCCCAUGAAGUCGGAAUCGGUAGUAAUCGCGGAUCAGCAGGCCGCGGUGAAUACGUUCUCGGGUCUUGUACACACCGCCCGU